GCAGGUGACAUGGGCUGGUGAUGAAAUGUGUAGAAUUCUUUCCACAACCGCCUGAAGGCAGGGCCCACGGCCUCCUCCUUACCGAAGCAAGCCUCUGGGUUCAGCUUCAUGGCGGCUGAAGAGAUGCAUUGGCCUGUCCCUAUGAAGGCCAUUGGUGCCCAGAACCUGCUAACCAUGCCUGGGGGCGUGGCCAAGGCUGGCUACCUGCACAAGAAGGGCGGUACCCAGCUGCAGCUGCUGAAAUGGCCCCUGCGCUUUGUCAUCAUCCACAAACGCUGCGUCUACUACUUCAAGAGCAGCACCUCCGCCUCCCCGCAGGGCGCCUUCUCCCUGAGUGGUUAUAACCGGGUGAUGCGGGCGGCUGAGGAGACCACGUCCAACAACGUUUUCCCCUUCAAGAUCAUCCACAUCAGCAAGAAGCACCGCACGUGGUUCUUCUCGGCCUCCUCCGAGGAGGAGCGCAAGGUGACUGGGGGUCCAAGGACGAGUGCAAGGUGACUGGGGGUGUGGGCCUGCA
rnacentral:sRNA from 1 species